GUGGGGAAUAUUGGGCAAUGGGCGAAAGCCUGACCCAGCAACGCCGCGUGAAGGAAGAAGGUUUUCGGAUCGUAAACUUCUAUCCUUGGUGAAGAUAAUGACGGUAGCCAAGAAGGAAGCCCCGGCUAACUACGUGCCAGCAGCCGCGGUAAUACGUAGGGGGCAAGCGUUGUCCGGAAUGAUUGGGCGUAAAGGGCGCGUAGGCGGCCCGGUAAGUCUGAAGUGAAAGUCCUGCUUUUAAGGUGGGAAUUGCUUUGGAUACUGUCGGGCUUGAGUGCAGGAGAGGUAAGCGGAAUUCCCGGUGUAGCGGUGAAAUGCGUAGAGAUCGGGAGGAACACCAGUGGCGAAGGCGGCUUUCUGGACUGACACUGACGCUGAUGCACAAAAGCGUGGGGAGCAAACAGGAUUAGAAACCCCAGUAGUCC
rnacentral:rRNA from 1 species